rnacentral:rRNA from 1 species
AUCCAGACUCCUACGGGAGGCAGCAGUGGGGAAUAUUGCACAAUGGGGGGAACCCUGAUGCAGCGACGCCGCGUGGGUGAAGGAGUACUUCGGUACGUAAAGCCCUAUCAGCAGGAAAGAAAAUGACGGUACCUGACUAAGAAGCCCCGUCUAACUACGUGCCAGCAGCCGCGGUAAUACGUAGGGGGCAAGCGUUACCCGGAUUCACUGGGUGUAAAGGGGGCGUAGACGGCCAUGCAAGCCUGGAGUGAAAGCCCGGGGCCCAACCCCGGGACUGCUCUGGGAACUGUGCGGCUGGAGUGCGGGAGGGGCAGGCGGAAUUCCUGGUGUAGCGGUGAAAUGCGUAGAUAUCAGGAGGAACACCGGCGGCGAAGGCGGCCUGCUGGACCGCGACUGACGUUGAGGCUCGAAAGCGUGGGGAGCAAACAGGAUUAGAUACCCCAGUAGA